AUUGAACGCUGGCGGCAUGCUCUACACAUGCAAGUCGAACGGUAACAGGCCGCAAGGUGCUGACGAGUGGCGAACGGGUGAGUAAUGCAUCGGAACGUGCCCAGUCGUGGGGGAUAACUACUCGAAAGAGUAGCUAAUACCGCAUACGAUCUAUGGAUGAAAGCGGGGGACCGUAAGGCCUCGCGCGAUUGGAGCGGCCGAUGUCAGAUUAGGUAGUUGGUGGGGUAAAGGCUCACCAAGCCAACGAUCUGUAGCUGGUCUGAGAGGACGACCAGCCACACUGGGACUGAGACAUGGCCCAGACUCCUACGGGAGGCAGCAGUGGGGAAUUUUGGACAAAGGGCGCAAGCCUGAUCCAGCAAUGCCGCGUGCAGGAAGAAGGCCUUCGGGUUGUAAACUGCUUUUGUACGGAACGAAACGGCUCUGGUUAAUACCCGGGGCUAAUGACGGUACCGUAAGAAUAAGCACCGGCUAACUACGUG
rnacentral:rRNA from 1 species